AUGAAAUUGUAAUGGGAGUUGAUGCUGGCAGCCUGGCUGUAUGUGCUCGCUCCUUCAUCCCAAACACCUGUGCACAUUUAGGAGAGGGUCUCUGAGUUCUGCUUGGGGUGCCUUGCUCUGAUAGACACAUUAGUUAAAUAUUGAACGUGAUUGUGCCGUGAGGCCUCUUAAUAUUAAUA
rnacentral:misc_RNA from 1 species